rnacentral:rRNA from 1 species
GACGAACCGUGCGAACGUUGUUCGGAAUCACUGGGCUUAAAGGGCGCGUAGGCGGCUUGCCAAGUCAGGGGUGAAAUCUUUCGGCUUAACCGGAAAAGUGCCUUUGAUACUGGCAGGCUAGAGGGAGGUAGGGGCAUGCGGAACUUCCGGUGGAGCGGUGAAAUGCGUUGAUAUCGGAAGGAACGCCGGUGGCGAAAGCGGCGUGCUGGACCUCUUCUGACGCUGAGGCGCGAAAGCUAGGGGAGCAAACGGG